rnacentral:lncRNA from 1 species
GGGAAGAUGACCUAACCUGGCCCGCACCUGUUGCCUCGCACGUGAUGGGGCUGGGAUUUGUGCAGAGUGGCAGGACCCCAGAGUGUGUGUCCUUACGGUUAAUUGUACUCACGUAUGUGGUGUGGGUGUGCACACGCUGGCAUCUCAUUUGUGGAGCACUCUCAGCGGGCAGGCCGGCCAGCUGUGAACAGCCCUCUGCUGCGGCAAGUAGCCAAGGCACUUAGGAGCAUAGACUAUUUGUGUUCUCUCCAUGUGACUUCCCUUCAUGGUACAACCUUGUUCUGCCCCGACACCAGCUUGGCCACCACCUUACUUACUUUGCAGGGGACAGAGCCUGUGGAUGGCCACAGACGCCCAGAUGCUGUGAGUUUCUGCCAGCAGGCACCUUUCCUCUGGGCUCUGGUCACUGCUAUAUGAACGUGCCAGGUCAGUGGCUGGAGGGGUGGGAGGGGUGAGGAAGCUGAGUCGUCAGGGCUGGGCCAUCCCACACGAGACAGGGUCAGGUGGGGAUCUUAGGAGCACAGGCAGGUCCCGCCGAGAUCAGCAGAACGGCCCAGCAGACAUGCAGCUGGUGAGCAGUAGUGGCUGGGGCUGUUUUAAGCUUGGGGCGCUUUGUUAUGCAGCACUCCUGUGGCAGUACACAGCCGGGACGUAAAACCUGACUAGAAUCUUACAACAAAAGAAGAGAGGCGCCUGGUGCAACACAGGAGUUGGGGGUUUUGGGGGGACUGAGCGAGGACAAGCAGGAAGGGCCUCUGAGCCUCUGCCAGACUCAGGCUGUCUGGAGCCGCCCUUCUCAUCCCUGUAAAGACCUUUUUCUUCCUCCUUCUCCCCAUCGCGCUCCCUCUUUUCGACCCGACGCCCUACUUUUAUUUUCUAUCCAGUUGGUAGAUUUUCAAGAGCAGGUACGGAGAAGUCGGAGGUGGAGAAGGAUGGUGUCAUGGAAAAGAUGAACCGGAGGGAGGAUGAGCCGUCUGGUUCUCACCUGCUGAUGUCAGCAGAACCAGGGUUCCCGGUGAUGCGGUGGUGCUUGUGCGCAGUGAACACCUAGCAGGAGUGAUGUCGCCGCUUAACCCUCCACUCAGGUGCUGAAGAGCAGGCAGAAUAGUUGGGGUUUAGAUGUCUGCGCAGUUUUCCCUCCCAUCACCAGGGCCCCUCCCCCAGAGUCCUUCCUGCCUGGCUCCUCCCAUCACCGGGGCUCCUCCCCCAGACGUCCUCCUGCCUGGCUCCUCCCAUCCCCGGGGCUCCUCCCCCAGAGUCCCACCUGCCUGGCUCCUCCCAUCACCGGGGCGCCUCCCCCAGACGGCCUCCUGCCUGGCUCCUCCCAUCCCCGGGGCCCCUCCCCCAGAAGUCCCUCCUGCCUGGCUCCGCCCAUCUCCGGGGCUCCUCCCCCAGAGUCCCACCUGCCUGGCUCCUCCCAUCACAGGGGCUCCUCCCACAGACGUCCUCCUGCCUGGCUCCUCCCAUCACCGGGG